UGUGGUGUUGUUAGCGAGAAGGUCACACCUGUUCCCAUCCCGAACACAGCAGUUAAGCUUCUCAGCGCCAAUGGUACUAGGACUAUAAGAUUCCGGGGAGAGUAGGUCGCCGCCACAU
rnacentral:rRNA from 1 species